rnacentral:rRNA from 1 species
GGAUCAAUAUGUUGGUCGUGCCUUGGUACGUACUAGUUUAUUGGUUUCUUCCUUCUGACGAACCAUGAUGUCAUUAAUUUGGUGUCGCAGGGAAUCAGGACUGUUACUUUGAAAAAAUUAGAGUGUUUAAAGCAGGCUUUAGCUUGAAUACAUUAGCAUGGAAUAAUGAAAUAGGACGUUUGAUCCUAUUUUGUUGGUUUCUAGGAUUGACGUA